AUGUCCCCCUCCUCGGUUAGGGACGGGGACGCCGCACUGCCGCGGGUUUCCUUCUCUUUCCCUUUUGGGGGAGCUCCCCUCUGCCAAGCCAGACGUCCGCCUCCAAGUUCGCCUUCGCGCACCGCGCCGCCCUCAACCCGCCACAUGCGCCCAUCAGCCCCGUACCCCGCAGGGCCCCGGCUGGGCGCCCGCUGGAUGGUUCUCGAGGACUCGGGCUUUGAGGGGAGUUUUUUUCUUAAACAAAAAGCCUUAGCGGCCAGCCGCCCCCUCCUCCAAGCCCGCGCCACCUUCCCUUCACGCCCACGCCGCACCUCCCCGACACACGCGCUGCGAGGUGCCUCUCCCGCCAGACAAUGGGUUCGGGGCCGNNCAGUCAGCCAACCCCCAGCCCCAUGCCCCAUUCCGGGACCCCAAGAAGGCUUGGCGCGGGGAGAUCGGAGGAGGCCAAGGGAGGCCACAAUAAGCGAAGCGGGCGCCUCCCCCUUGGGACCGGGGAUUCGCUCCCGGGGCGCGGAGAAGGGAAGAGGGCGGGGGUCAGCUGCACCGCCUGGUCUGGGGCCCCGGGGCCCGGCUCCCGGCCGCCGCCGCGCACUCACCAGCACGAUGGCAAAUCGCUCCUCCAGUUCACCUGGCUCGGGCAUCGGCAGCUUCAAAGGCACGUUGUGCGCCCUGAAAUCGGUCUGCUGUGAAUCCAUGCUCCCGGCGUUGCCCAUGUUGGCUGCACGCCGGGGCAGGGGACUACUCCGGGCCCCCUGCGUCCGCGUCGGAAAUCAGAACAGCUCCGCUGGCACGCCGCCCCCUGCCAGCGAUAGCGGCCAACGGGAGCGUGGUUGCUCGGAGUUGGUCUCCCGCCGGGACAGUGAUCGCCGCUGACACUUCCAGCUCUACGCCGGCGAUCACGACGCUGGCUCGACCAGCACCUAGAGCAGACAAAUGCAGCUCCGCGCUCCCGACACAAUGCCCCCUCUCGCCCGGCCCCCGCCCCCGGCCCGGCUCCGCCCACUCGCCCCACGGACUGCCGGGACCAGUAGUUUCUGCCCAAAGUGUCUGCACGCAGAAACCACGCCCUCUCUGGAGGGCCCGGCUGGGUUAGGGCCGCUUGCAGGAAAGGCAAUCUGAGCACCUUCGGGAAGUGUCACUUUUGACCCCCACCCCCACGCCACUCCAACGGAAGAGAUACUAAUCGUCUACAUUGAUUAGUAGGCAAUCGGGCACAUUUGGCAAGUGAAUGAAUUAACCAGUCAAUGAUUGAAUNNNNNNNNNNNNNNNNNNNNNNNNNNNNNNNNNNNNNNNNNNNNNNNNNNNNNNNNNNNNNNNNNNNNNNNNNNNNNNNNNNNNNNNNNNNNNNNNNNNCAAGUGAAUGAAUUAACCAGUCAAUGAUUGAAUGCACGCAUUUUGAUUUAAAUUUCAGGAGCUGUUCAACAGGAGACCUCAUGGGUAUUGGCAACUUUCUCCGCCAUAAACUGGGAUGUGGGUCCAUGAGUGUUUGUUAUAUUGUUCUUUCUUCCAUGUGUAUGUUACACAUUCACAUAUUCUUUUGUGCAGUUGAAAUGUUUUAUAAACAAGUGUACUUUUGUGGAUAUUUACAAACUUUCAGAUGGAUAUAUACCUUUAUACAUCCUGGUCAGACCCCAGGAUUUGGAUGAGGAGGAUUCAAAACAAAUAUCUGUCAAAAAGCUAUUACGAAUGGGUGGGUUACUGUGUUCCUUGACUAGAGAAAGACUUUCCAGUCAAAUGAAGGAGAAAAUUUACACAACUAUGCUUUGCAUGAGAAAUAAGAACAGAGCAUUUGAAAAGGCUCUGGAGAUGGUCUUUGGCUGUAGCUGUUUUAUUCCUCUAUAGCACUCUUGUUCCAGGUAUUUUACAGAGAAGACUGGGCCCAACCCUGCCCUUCCUGAGUGCUCUUACAACUAUACUGUCCAUUCAGAGACAGUGGAAUUAGAGACAGCCUUAGAAAACGUGUAGCCACAUUACCCUUUGUAGAUUUCAAGGGUACCCACCUGGUUGACUUGUGGCUGCAGUCCUGUGAUUAGUCCUUUCUUAGCUUAAAAUAGUGUUUCUUAAUCCUGGUUCCUGUAUCAGAUUCACAUAGGGAGGUUGUUAAAACUGCACUGCAGGAUGGGCCCUGACUAUUAUCAGAAUUUCCCUAAGCUAAGAGCUAGGGCCGGGGUAUAUUUUUAACAAGCCCUCCAGGUGCUUCUGAUAUAAAACUG
rnacentral:lncRNA from 1 species